AGUAGACAAAGUAUGCCUAUUAUCUAGGUUUUAAAAUGCAAUUGCUUAUUUUUCAGUAUAUAGAUCUUGAGAAGACAUGACAAAUGGAUGAAUUGGGUCCAGGAGGAAAAAAGAAGACAGGAUUACCUUUGGGAAUGACUGUGAGGGGAUUGACAGAGGAGGGGUACUUUGGGAAAUAUAGAUGAAGAACCUGAAGUCUAAAUGUGAAAAGUGACUUAUCUUGGACCACACAGAUAGGAAAGGGACCUGGUUAGAUACCAUGCCUCAUAAAAGUUGCUUCUGGCAAAUGGAGAGGUUGUGGAGAAAGAAGGUAAAGUUAUCUUUCCAACACCCACUAAGAGAGAGGUGAGUAGCCUCAGGGAAUAGUUGGGCAUUUUCUCAGUGAUGUGGGGGGAAAUU
rnacentral:lncRNA from 1 species